rnacentral:rRNA from 1 species
UACGGGAGGCAGCAGUGGGGAAUAUUGCACAAUGGGGGAAACCCUGAUGCAGCGACGCCGCGUGAGUGAUGAAGUAUUUCGGUAUGUAAAGCUCUAUCAGCAGGGAAGAUAAUGACGGUACCUGACUAAGAAGCACCGGCUAAAUACGUGCCAGCAGCCGCGGUAAUACGUAUGGUGCAAGCGUUAUCCGGAUUUACUGGGUGUAAAGGGUGCGUAGGUGGCAAGGCAAGUCUGAAGUGAAAAUCCGGGGCUCAACCCCGGAACUGCUUUGGAAACUGUUUAGCUGGAGUACAGGAGAGGUAAGUGGAAUUCCUAGUGUAGCGGUGAAAUGCGUAGAUAUUAGGAGGAACACCAGUGGCGAAGGCGACUUACUGGACUGCUACUGACACUGAGGCACGAAAGCGUGGGG